AUAAACUCCUAAAAAUGAAAAAAAAAAAAACUGAGGAGAAAAAAAAAAGAUGAAUCAGAGCACAGAGGAGGAUGCGUAGCAAACCUGACCAUGCAUUGACCUGUUUAGAAGAUUCUUACAGAAGGAGAUGUCCUCCUCUGCUGCUAUUCAACUGUGUCUGGCCAGGAUUCCAAAUUCCCCGAAGACAGCUGCUCUAGCCAGGCACCUAGGCCAGGAUUCUCUCUGAGAAGCUAACAGGCAGUCCUGCCACUUGUGAUCAGAUUCACUGCCUAAGGUACUUCUUCCAGCAAUGAAAAGUUAUCUGGUAGAGAUAACUUCAUUUUGCAUUUAAGAGCUUUGUUAUAGCUACCGUAGCCUAACUUUUCUUUGUUCAGGGGGUCAGAACCAGUCACCAGGGUAGGUGCUGGGUUAGGCUUCUGUGGCUGCCAUACAGAUGACCAUAGUCUUGAUGACUUAAAACAAUAGCAAUUGAUUCUCACAGUCCUAGGAACUGGAAGGCCAGGAGGUGGCAGGUUUGCAUGCCCUUUGGAGGCUCUGGGGCAAACCCUUUCUCAUUACCGUAGCUCCCUCCUGGCAGCUGCCAGCUCUUCUGUGACUGUGUCACUCCAGCCUCUGCUACCAUCAGCACGAGGUGUGUGCUCUUUGUGUGUCUCUCCAAAAGUCACCGGUCAUUGGAGUUAGGGCCAUCGUGAGUUCAAAUCAAGAUCCCGAACUUCAUAACAUCGACAAAGACUGCUUUUCCAAAUGAGGUCACAUGGACAGGCUUUAGGGGUUAAGAUAUGGUUGUAUCUCCUGUGGGGAGGGUGUGGAAGCACCAGCCAGCCCCAGGAUAACCGCAGGAAGCAUAGAGUAUGUUGUUUCUGAAUGUGCUGGCUUGCUCAGGCCACAAGGUGGGUUUCUGUGGUGGGGCCAACCCCCUGUGGCUGCUGAACAUCCUCUGAGAUGAACGCCGGAAUUGUGCACCUGCCAGUGCUGGCAACAGCCACACUGCUGCCUCAUGCUACUUGCCUCCAUUCAAUGGGUUCAUCUCUGUUAACCUCCCUAUAUCUGAAAUCAACCCACAAAGCAAACAGGCCACAAACCACAGGAGACCUAGGUGCAUUAGAAAUCCCCAACCUCCUGAUGGAGGAAAUAGGGGUUGAUGUGAAAAGGUGAAGGACCUGGAAGGAAACGGAGGCAGGAGGUCCAAUACUGAGGCUUGCCUCAGGAACCACGGUGUGGGCAUCUUGGAACAUACUUCCAUGGCACUGUGGCCGAGGGUGAUGCUACAGAGUAGCACCCAGUGAAGCCCAGUCCCAGCCAGUUUGAACUUGGCCCUUCAGUGUCAUUGGGUCUGUAAGCUCCUACCUGGUCAGACUAUGAAAGGUAUGGAUUUCAGGGGUUCCCAGAGGCAGAUGGAAGGAGUGUUUGAGGGUGAAGGUAAUUCAGGGGCUCACAUGCUGCCUCUGUGUGAAUGGAUUUGAGUGUCCUGAUAGCUGGGAUGCCUGUUGCAUUGCUCACUGGCUAAAUCGAGGUACUAGUAGCCUCACUUUGUGGAUGAAGGGGUGAGGA